rnacentral:rRNA from 1 species
GACGAACGCUGGCGGCGUGCUUAACACAUGCAAGUCGAACGGAAAGGCCCUGCUUUUGUGGGGUGCUCGAGUGGCGAACGGGUGAGUAACACGUGAGUAACCUGCCCUUGACUUUGGGAUAACUUCAGGAAACUGGGGCUAAUACCGGAUAGGAGCUCCUGCUGCAUGGUGGGGGUUGGAAAGUUUCGGCGGUUGGGGAUGGACUCGCGGCUUAUCAGCUUGUUGGUGGGGUAGUGGCUUACCAAGGCUUUGACGGGUAGCCGGCCUGAGAGGGUGACCGGCCACAUGGGGACUGAGAUACGGCCCAGACGCCUACGGGGGGCAGCAGUGGGGAAUAUUGCACAAUGGGCGGAAGCCUGAUGCAGCAACGCCGCGUGCGGGAUGACGGCCUUCGGGUUGUGAACCGCUUUCGCCUGUGACGAAGCGUGAGUGACGGUAAUGGGUAAAGAAGCACCGGCUAACUACGUG